rnacentral:rRNA from 1 species
GACGAACGCUGGCGGCGUGCUUAACACAUGCAAGUCGAACGGAAAGGCCCUUCUGGUGUGUGGUGCGCGAAUGGCGAACGGAUGAGUAACACGUGAUUAACCGGACCUUGACUUUGGGAUAGCUUCAGGAAACUAGUACUAAUAACGGAUAGGAGCUCCUUCUGCAUGGGUGGGGUGGGAAAGUUUCGGCGGUUGGGGAUGGACUCGCGGCGUAUCAGCUUGUUGGUGGGGUAGUGGCUUACCAAGGCUUUGACGGGUAGCCGGCCUGAGAGGGUGACCGGCCACACUGGGACUGAGAUACGGCCCAGACUCCUACGGGAGGCAGCAGUGGGGAAUAUUGCACAAUGGGCGGAAGCCUGAUGCAGCAACGCCGCGUGCGGGAUGACGGCCUUCGGGUUGUAAACCGCUUUCGCCUGUGACGAAGCGUGAGUGACGGUAAUGGGUAAAGAAGCACCGGCUAACUACGUG